rnacentral:rRNA from 1 species
UACGAAGGGGGCUAGCGUUGUUCGGAAUUACUGGGCGUAAAGCGCACGUAGGCGGAUAUUUAAGUCGGGGGUGAAAUCCCGGGGCUCAACCCCUGAACUGCCUUCGAUACUGGGUAUCUUGAGUUCGGAAGAGGUGAGUGGAAUUGCGAGUGUAGAGGUGAAAUUCGUAGAUAUUCGCAGGAACACCAGUGGCGAAGGCGGCUCACUGGUACGAUACUGACGCUGAGGUGCGAAAGCGUGGGGAGCAAACAGG